rnacentral:rRNA from 1 species
UUCUUUAUUGCUUAUUUAUAUAAAGUAUAACCUGCUCAAUGAAUUUUUAAAUAGCCGCGGUAUUUAUCGUGCUAAGGUAGCAUAAUAAUUUGUCUUUUAAUUAGAGUCUAGAAUGAAUGGUUGAACGAGAAACUAACUUUUUUAGUUAAACUUUUAUGAAUUUUAUUUUUUAGUAAAAAAGCUGAAAUUAAUUUAUAUGACGAUAAGACCCUAUAAAAUUUUAUAUUUUAUUAUUUUAUUAUAUUUUUUUAUUUUUAUUGAAAUUUUAAAAUAUUUGGUUGGGGCGACUAUUUUAUUUUAUAAACUAUAAUUUAUUUUAUUUCAUUGAUUUAUGAUUUAUUGAUCCUAAUUUUUAGAUUAUAAGAAUAAAUUACUUUAGGGAUAACAGCGUUAUUUUCUUGGGGAGUUCUUAUUUAUAAGGAAGAUUGCGA